AUAUUAUACUUAUAAGUAUAAGAUGGAGAAAUCCAUUAAAAUUCUAAGUAAAUACUUGAUAAUGACAUAAUUUACUUAAAUGUCUUGACUAAAUCAUGUGCCAGCAGUCGCGGCAAUACAUGGAAGACUAGUGUUAUUCAUCUUAAUUAGGUUUAAAGGGUACCUAGACUGUCAAUUAAACCUAAUUUAUAAAGGUACUUUUUGACUAGAGUUUAAUAUGAGAGGGGUUAAUAGAACGAGUAGAGUAGAGAUAAAAUUCGUUGAUACACUCUGUAGACUGGUAAAGGCGAAGGCAACCUUCUAUGUAAAAACUGACGUUGAGGGACGAAGGCUACGAUUAACGAACAGGAUUAGAUACCCAAGUAAUGAGUGCAGUAAAUGAUGAAUGCCAUAUGUAAGAUUAAUUUUAUGUAUAAAUGAAAGUGUAAGCAUUCCACCUCAAGAGUAAUGUGGCAACGCCGGAACUGAAAUCAUUAGACCGUUUCUGAAAACAGUAGUGAAGUAUGUUGUUUAAUUUGAUAAUCCACGGAAAACCUUACCACAAUUUGAAUAAAAAUAUUCUAUAUAGAAUAUUUUUACAAGCGUUGCACGGACAGGGAUUGCCUCAGUAACGGCGAGUGAAGCGGCAACAGCUCAAAUUUGAAAUCUGACCUCACGGUCCGAGUUGUAAUUUGUAGAGGAUGUUUCGGGUGCGUCUCCGGUCUAAGUUCCUUGGAACAGGGCGUCAUAGAGGGUGAGAAUCCCGUACGUGACUGGUUGACAACCCCAUGUGAAACUCCUUCGACGAGUCGAGUUGUUUGGGAAUGCAGCUCAAAAUGGGUGGUAUAUUUCAUCUAAAGCUAAAUAUUGGCCAGAGACCGAUAGCGCACAAGUAGAGUGAUCGAAAGAUGAAAAGCACUUUGGAAAGAGAGUUAAAAAGUACGUGAAAUUGUUGAAAGGGAAGCGCUUGCAACCAGACUUGCCCGGGGGUGAUCAACCGUCCUUUUGGGCGGUGCACUCUCCCUCGGUCAGGCCAGCAUCGAUUCGGGCGGUAGGACAAAGGUUCCGGGAACGUGGCCCACUUCGGUGGGUGUUAUAGCCCGGGGCGUAAUGCUACCAGCCUGGAUCGAGGACCGCGCUUCGGCUAGGAUGCUGGCGUAAUGGUUGCUAGCGACCCGUCUUGAAACACGGACCAAGGAGUCGACCAACUCUGCGAGUGUUUGGGUGUUAAACCCGUGCGCGUAAUGAAAGUGAACGGAGGUAAGAACCCGCAAGGGCGCAUUAUCGACCGAUCCUGAUGUCUUCGGAUGGAUUUGAGUAAGAGCAAAGUUGGUCGGACCCGAAAGAUGGUGAACUAUGCGUGAAUAGGGUGAAGCCAGAGGAAACUCUGGUGGAGGCUCGCAGCGGUUCUGACGUGCAAAUCGAU
rnacentral:rRNA from 1 species